rnacentral:rRNA from 1 species
UGGGGAAUUUUGCACAAUGGGCGCAAGCCUGAUGCAGCCAUGCCGCGUGUAUGAAGAAGGCCUUCGGGUUGUAAAGUACUUUCAGCGGGGAGGAAGGGAGUAAAGUUAAUACCUUUGCUCAUUGACGUUACCCGCAGAAGAAGCACCGGCUAACUCCGUGCCAGCAGCCGCGGUAAUACGGAGGGUGCAAGCGUUAAUCGGAAUUACUGGGCGUAAAGCGCACGCAGGCGGUUUGUUAAGUCAGAUGUGAAAUCCCCGGGCUCAACCUGGGAACUGCAUCUGAUACUGGCAAGCUUGAGUCUCGUAGAGGGGGGUAGAAUUCCAGGUGUAGCGGUGAAAUGCGUAGAGAUCUGGAAGAAUACCGGUGGCGAAGGCGGCCCCCUGGACGAAAACUGACGCUCAGGUGCGAAAGCGUGGGGAGCAAACAGG